UACGGGGGGGGCGAGCGUUGUCCGGAUUUACUGGGCGUAAAGCGCGUGUAGGCGGUCGUUUAAGUCCGGGGUGAAAGGCGGGGGCUCAACCCCCGCACUGCGCUGGAAACUGGACGGCUGGAGUGUCGGAGAGGGGAGUGGAAUUCUCGGUGUAGCGGUGAAAUGCGUAGAGAUCGAGAGGAACACCCGUGGCGAAGGCGGCUCCCUGGCCGAACACUGACGCUGAGACGCGAAAGCGCGGGGAGCGAACGGGAUUAGAUACCCCAGUAGUCC
rnacentral:rRNA from 1 species